CUCACCCUCCUCGGCAGCGACACCUGUAUCGACGGGUAGUUCAUCGCCGACGCAGGUAUCCAAUUCACGGCCGAGCACGUCACCGGCCUGUUGUACAGCAUUUGCAGUUCCCAGUCGGCGUACCCAAGCCCGCAUAAAUAGCCGACAUAGUCGUCGGGCUGGAUGUCGUACACGAGCCCGGGAUCCAUAGCCCUCACGGGGUCGACGUGUCCGGCGCCAGUUGCGAAUAUGCUUGCUGUGCGGUUCAAUUUCUCGUCGGCGAUCGGAUUCCCGUUGAGGUCGACGUCCUUUGCCGAUGUUAUAACUGCCGAGUUUACGUAAGCUGGCGGCCACGUUGGGUGUUUUUUCUUGAUCAGCGCGGUAAUGCCGGCCACGUGAGGGGUCGCCAUCGACGUGCCGCUCUCGAAAUUGAAUGUCCAUACGGUAAGCCCGGAGGGAUUGGGUCCGACUGCGAACGGCCAUGCCGCGAGGAUGUUCGAACCAGGGGCGAGUACGUCGGGCUUUAAAAUCCCACCGUUCGAGGGUGGCGGCCCACGGGAGGAGAAGGCGACCACCGCCGGCGAUGGCCGGUUGCCGUACGUCGUCUUGUGGAAGACGAUCGACGCAUUGGCAGCACUAACGCCUGAAGAAUUUAGCAGCGAGUAGUAAUAGGAGGUAAGUUGUAGCCUACCGUAGUGGGUCAAGUACACCGCCGGAAGAACGUGCGCGUCCGCAAAUGUCGUGAAACCCAGAUACUGCGGGUUCAGCAGAACCAUCGCCGCCCCGCCGGCCGCGUACACUACCUCGCCUUUCUCGACGUUGGUAUUGUUGCCAAGGUGGCACAGCACUAUCUUCUGCCGUACAUCAAUGUAGUCCAGCGACCCCUUCAAGCAUAACAUUGCAUCGUAGCCGGCGAUCGCCCCCGGGUACACGAUCGGCAGCACUCUCGACUGGUUGAAUGAGCUCGGCUGGUAUGCUGUCUCGCCCUCUAGCUCCUCUCCGUUCCCCAGCUUCACAAUCGCUCUACACCUCCGAUCGGUAGAUGCUGCCCCGACAGUCAGGACCUAUAUAUCAAACUAAAGUAUUAAACACUAUCUUCUCGCGACUUAAAUUUUUACGAGUCAUUCUAUGUUUUAUUGAGAAAAUAGGAGGUUUUGAGCCCAGUUCAGUACCCAUGGCGCGUCAUGUGCCAAAGUGUUCUCAGCCGGUCCUUCGUUCCCAGCAGCGGCGACAGCGAUAAUCCCAUGCGACAAAGCUGCCAGCGACCCCUGGGCUAUGCCGUCAUAGUAAUACCUAUACGUCGCAUUGCCGCCAAUGGACAUGGAGAUGAUGUCAACACCGUCGUAUAUUGCCUGGUCAAUCGCGGCGAGGGUGUUGCUGGUGGCGCAGCCGUUUUCAAAGCACACCUUGUAGAUGGCGAGGUGCGCCCGCGGCGCCAUCCCCGUGGCGGUGCCGAAGGCGCGUCCGAGGACGUUGGCGUUGUCGAGGGAGUUCCCGGCGGCGGUGCUGGCAACGUGGGUGCCGUGCCCGUCGGUGUCGAGCGCCGUGGCGUCCACGGAAUUGUUGAACCCGCGCGCGGCGAUGAUCUUGUUGUUGCACCAGACCCCGCUCGCCAAGGAGCAGUUUCCUCGCCAGUUGGGCGGGGGCGGCGGCAUCCCGGCGGGGUCGAACGAGGGGUGCGUCGGGUGGAUCCCCGUGUCCAGGAUCCCGAUCACGACGCCCUGCCCGAAGCCCGCGCUCGCCCACGCGGCGCUGUUCUGUUGGGUGAGGCCCAUGAACUCGGGGGUGUACGUGGUGAGGAGCGGGUGGACCUGGUCCACGCGCGCGUGGACGAACCCGGGCUUCGACUCCAUGUCGGCGACCUCGGCCGGCGUCAGCCGCGCCGCGAACCCGCUCAUGACGUCACGGUAGGAGUAGAUGAGACGGGGCGCGCCCGAAUCCAAAGUCGGCGUCGGCAGAAACGACUCGUGGUAGCUGCGUAAUUCGUGGGCGCCAAAGGAGUCGGCGCCGAGUGGCUUGUCCACGUUGACGAUGUACGUUUGGAGCACGUUGGAGUCGGCGUUGGGUUCGUUCACUAUGGGGAAUAGCUGUGCGUGGACAAUAGCAACAAUAGGAAGGAGAGAAGAGAAUGCGGUGAGGAGAGCAAGCCGUUGCCGACUCUUCAUUUUUGCGCGGGACCGAACGAUAACAAUGCUCGGAGAAGAGGAAGAAGAAGAGGGUGAGCAUGUGGGAUACGGUUCUCCACAGGUAGAAGAGAUAUAUAUAUAUAAAUAUACUCGGCAUAGAUCGAUGCACACGGGCUAGAACAAGGAAGAGGGAAAGUGCCUGUAUUAAUUAUAUGUGAAUUAAGAAGUGAAUUAUAGGUAAAUUAUGGGGAGCAUGCAAGGAGCGUUUGCCUUAUGUUUAUCGUGAGCAACCAUGAUGAAAUUAAUCAUAGCUGGGAAUACAAGGGGCAUACAGUGAAGUGAUAGAACAGUCACUUUCAUUAUUUAUAACAAAAAGCAAAAAAUCUAGUCUCUGGGUACGAAAAAAAAAAGUAACAUAAUUAAUAUUUAUCGUCCAUGGCCGAAAAUAGAACAGUAAUUAUCAUUGUAAUCCAAACAGAAUGGGAAAGCUGACUCUUUUAUAAAAUUCUAACUCUGAAUUGAAAUACAUCUCAUAAUUUCUCUCAUCCAUUGCCUUAAUUUAAAAAUAAAGGGUAUAUAUAUAUAUAUAUAUAUAUAUAUAUUUGAAAGUAAAGCUAUCUCUCUCUCAAAAAAAAAAAGAAAAAGUAAAGCUGAAUUAAAUUAGAAAUAUAAAAUUUAUUACCAUUAGCAACAGUUUUAAGUUAACUAAAUAGGAUAGAGCAAACUUGUACACUCCAAAAAGACAUGUACGUAGAUCUUACAUCCUCCAUCCGAUUGCCAAAAUUAGCACUUUGUAAGAUUCCAGAUGUAUAAUAUAACAAUCUCAACCUUUUUUAACUUCUUAUCUUUUUCAACCUUUUUUAACUUCUUAUCUUUUUCGUUAAAACUCAAAAGGCUCCUCUAAGUGCUACCAAGCCAAAAUUACAUAAUAUCAAAUUUGGUUAUCGCAAAAGACUUGAUAAGCAAAUUCGCAAAUUCCUGAAGUGUUAAUCUUAUUCUUUUCCGGUAACACUUUUUGUCAAUCAUGUUGCAUCAAAUCAAAUAAUAUAGAAAAGAUCUUGAACAACCAAAUAAAUAAUUCAACUUUGGAUACUACUUUGUUACAGAAAUAUAAAAAAAAUCUAGUUCAUCGAAUACAAAAAAUUAACAAAAAAUAAAUUAGAAAAUAAAAAAAAUGUAUAAAUAUUUAUAUGAUUCCACAAUUGAUUAAUUACACCGACAAAACUGGAACGAAAAAUUUUAUUGUUAUCGAAAAUGGAGUACUUGUACCUCUCUGGGCUUUUUUUGCAAAUAGCCCUGUCCAAAAUUUAUUUGCAAAAAUGGUCCUGGCCCUGCCACGCCAGCGCCACGUCAGCGCCACGCGGACAGGGCCUGGGCCAGGUAUUCAAGUUGAACACGGUGAUUCGUUCACCGUGUCUAAACACGGUGAACCAAUCACCGUGUUCAAUAGGAAUGCGGCGGUCGGUAUUUCUAUUGAACACGGUGAAUGGUUCAUCAUGUCUAGACAUGGUAAUUGGUUCACCAUGUUUGAUAGAAAUAUCGCAAAAAUGGGUAUGGUAUUUCUAUUGGACACGGUGAACUAUUCACCGUGUCUACACACGGUGAACCAUUCACCGUGUUCUCUUACACACCACCGUGUUCUCUUACACACACACACACACCCACCCACUCCCCCCCCCCCCCCCACCCACGAACUCUGUCUCGAUCUCUGUCUCUAAAUGCAAUUCUGAUGGGCACGGAAUUGGGUUCAUCCGUGUCUGAGCAAACCCUCACUGACACGGUGAAACCAUUCACGUGUUCUGCUUUGAUAACCCGCCCGCCCCCCCACCACCCCCCCCCCGAAAACGCUGUCAUGAUACUCUCUCCAUACUCUCUCUCUUCUUCUCCUUAAGAGGGUUACAGGGAAUGGUUUUGGGAAUGGUGCGUAUGUGAAUUAUUGCCACUUCUCUCUCUCGAUCUCUCUCUCUCUCUCGCUCUCUUCCUCUUGCUCUCUCUCUCUCUCUGGCCGAAUCACCGUGUUUAGACAUGGUGAACGAAUCACCGUGUCUAAUGCAAGCUAAAAUCCUGGGCGGGGCGUGAGUAACACUGUGACACGGUGAUUGGUUCACCGUGUUUAGACACGGUAAACGAAUCACCGUGUUCAACUUGAAUACCUGACCCAGGUCCUGCCCGCGUGGCGCUGACAUGGCGCUGGCGUGGCAGGGUCAGAGCCAUUUUUGCAAAUAAAUUUUAGACAGGACUAUUUUUGUAAAUAAAAUUUGUUAGAGGGCUAUUUGCAAAAAAAGCCCACCUCUAUGGACCCAAGCCGAAAAUAUAUCUGAUGCGCAUGGACUUUGUCAUACGGCAUCUAUGCCACGGCUGUACAAUUAAUUCCUUUUUUAAUGCACAAAAUGGAAGUUGCAUCUUAAUAGCCAUGGUCCAUUUAUUAAUUAAUUGAAGUAUAUAAAUCCGGACCCAAAAUCCUAUUUAGUGCUGAUCCGAUUGGUCUGGAUUAUAUUGUCAGGAUUAUAUAUAAUUCUAUCAAGAUUACUUAUUCAACCAAUCUGUAAUCUGAUUACAAAUGAUGCAUGACUAUUCCAAAAGUGAAGGUAAAUAUCUUGUAUUACUGAUGUGGAACAAUAUUACAUGAUAUAUAAAAUAUCCCGUCGUAUUAUACAAUUCGAAAUCAAAUGCGCCCGCACGUGUAUGUAUGCAUGCAUAGACGUACAUUACCAAAUCAAGCGAACUUAACCGCAAUGGGGGUCUUGACCACACGAUUCCCGGAGACCCACUCGAUCUUCCCCGCCGCGUACUUGGGCGGCACGAAGCCCGAGGGAGGCCUGAUCACCGUUAGAGCAACGUCGAAGCUCGCCUCCUCGUACAGCCUCGAAAAGCGCAGCCGGUAUGUCGACAAGUCAACCCUCAUCAGCUGCGGCGCCGUGAUCCUCGCCGUGUACACCGACCUCGGAUCCCCGACAUUCGUCACUGUGCGGCUCACCGUCACCGUGGACCCCACCAUGCUCGGCAGCGACACCUGUAUCGAUGGGUAGUUCAUCGCCGACGCCUGUAUCCAACUCACGGCCGAGCACGUCACCGGCCUGUUGUACAGCAUUUGCAGUUCCCAGUCGGCGUACCCAAGCCCGCAUAAAUAGCCAACAUAGUCGUCGGGCCGGAUGUCGUACACGAGCCCGGGAUCCAUAGCCCUCACGGGGUCGACGUGUCCGGCGCCGGUCGCGAAUAUGCUCGCCUUGCCGUUCGAUAGCUCGUCGGCGAUCGGAUUCCCGUCGAUGUCGACGUCCUUAGCCG
rnacentral:lncRNA from 1 species